UUCAUCCAAAGUAAUAAGAAUGAGACC
rnacentral:piRNA from 1 species